rnacentral:rRNA from 1 species
UUUUCGUAGGUGAACCUGCGAAAGGAUCAUUAUCGGCACAUCCCUGUCUCCGAGAACGGAGAGGCUCGCCCCUUCGGGAGGCGACGCCGAGGUCUGGAAAGCAUGCGUGGUGGACGGCUCGGUUCCCGCGUCGAUGAAGGACGUAGCGAGAUACGAAAGGUGUUGCGAAUUGCAAGAUUUCGCGAGUCAAUGACCAUCCGAAUGCAUCGCCGCCCUCCCCUCGCCCUCGGGCGGAGGGAGGACGCGUCGGCGACAUCGCCCCGCCCCAGCGCUCUGCCCCACAGAAGGCGGAGGCACCGUGGACGGAGCACCCGGCAGCAGGUCGGCGUGUCCGUCACAGCCCGCGCAGCGGCUGCGCCCGGUCUAGACGGACCCGCGGAGCCUUCGGAACGUCGCUGCGAUGUCGUCGGCGAGGAAACCCGCUGAACUUAAGCAUAUCAUUAAGCGG